UACGGAGGGGGCUAGCGUUAUUCGGAAUUAUUGGGCGUAAAGGGCGCGUAGGCGGCCCGGUAAGUCAAAGGUGAAAUCCCUCGGCUCAACUGAGGAACUGCCUUUGAAACUGCCUGGCUUGAGGCCGGGAGGGGGUAGCGGAAUUCCCAGUGUAGCGGUGAAAUGCGUAGAUAUUGGGAGGAACACCAGUGGCGAAGGCGGCUACCUGGACCGGUUCUGACGCUGAUGCGCGAAAGCGUGGGUAGCAAACAGGA
rnacentral:rRNA from 1 species